rnacentral:lncRNA from 1 species
UAUCAUAUGUUCAUAAUAUAAAAUAACGUAUAUAAGAACAUAUUUUAUUAUAUUUAAUUUAACAUUGCUAGCUGUGUUUUGAAAUCAUGAAUAAUGAGAAUGAUAUAUUGGAAAUGCUUGACGAGAUCGAUGAAGAAGGGAUAUCUAUGUCAGAUGAUUCAUAUAUUGAAUCUGAUUAUGAUGCAUCUUGAAGAAGUGAUGGCAAUUCAAUAAUAACAGAUAGUGAUGUGGACCAUACAACUACUCCAUCCAAUUCCAGUGACAACAAUGUUUCUUUCAACGAAAGUGCAUUUUUGAGACCAGUUAGUGAACCAGUAAGUGAUAAAAGUGUUCAAAGUUUCAGUAGUGAUAGUGAGUCUGAAGAAAGUGACUGGGAAGAAAACAUAUUUGGUGACAUUAAUUUUGAUAGUAACAGUGCAGGGAUAAAAGUUGAUAUUAAUGAUGAUUCUUCACCAAUUGAUGUAUUUUUUAAAAUUUGGGACAAUGAUAUUUUUGAUUUAGUUCUUACUUGUACUAAUAAUUGUCAAAAAAAAAUAAAUUCUUUAAAUCGUCCACACACAAAAAAUGGAAGAAUGAAAAAUGUAAGUCCACUUACUCGUACAGACACAAAAAAAGUUUUUUGACCUUUGUCUAUUGAGAGGUCAGUUAAAACUUCCAGUAUUAAGAAAUGCUUUUAGUUCUAAUCCCUUAUACUAUCAUCCAAUUUUUAAUGCAACAAUGUCAGGUAGAAAGUUAGAAAAAAUUUUGAGAUCUCUGAACUGUUCAGAAGGUGUAAGCCUAAACACCAGAGAUAGAUUGUAUAAAAGUAAAAUUUUAAUGGACAAACUAAUGAAAAAAUUUCAAGACAGUUUAAGUCCAGGAGAAGCCUUGUCCCUUGUCUAUGCUGCUUUGGCGCUGACGACUUAUAUUUAGGCAAUACAUUAAAAAUAAAAAACAUAAAUAUGGUAUUAAGUUUUAUGAGCUUUGCUCACCAGAUGGCUAUAUACUUAAUAUUGAAAUUUAUAAAGGGAAAAAUGUUGAAGUAACAGGUAAUUCAAAAAUUAAUUAUUUGGUUUUAAAACUAGUUAAACCAUACUUGAAUAAGGGACAUCAUCUUUACAUGGAUAACUAUUAUAAUUCAGUUAAUUUAUCAAACUUAUUGUAUAAGCAAAGAACACACACCACUGGAAUAGAAAAAACAAUCCUACAUCAAUUGUAAAAAAAGCAUUAAAAUUAAAAAAGGAGAUCAUUAUUUUACAAAAUAAGGAUCAGUUUAUGUCAGUCGUUGGAAGGAUAAGAGAGAAGUUUUUUCUAUAACUACUGGCCAUCAUCCCAAAAUGGUAACUUCAUCUAAUAGAUUUUUUCAACAACAAAGUAUAAAACCUAAACAUAUUGUUGAGUAUAAUAGAAAUAUGUCUGGUAUUGAUAGAAGUGACCAGAUGAUAAGUUAUUAUUCAUCACCAAAAAAAACCAUUCGCUGGUACAAAAAAGUAAUUUUUCACUUGCUAGAUAUAUCUAUGUGGAAUGCAUAUUAUUUAUAUAAAAAAAAAUUACACAAUGUGAACCAUCGUUAUUUUGAUUUCCACUCAUCUGUAAUAACAAAACUUCUUCAUUUACCUGAUAAUAUUGUACAUGGCAGUCAAUUAGUAAAUAAAAAAAACAUCAGAAUAAGGACAUCUAACCAACCAAGAAACACUUCAGUGGUAUUGGAACAUGUCUAAGAAAAAAUACCUCAUCCUCCAGGUUGGAAAAGAAAAGGAUAUUACUUAAAAUGUAGACAAUGUACAAGCAGAAAACAAGUGAAACAGACUUCAUGGAGGUUAAGAAUUGUCCUGAAAAACCGCCUUUGUGCCCAGGGCCUUGUUUUUUAGAUUAUCAUAAUGUUGCUUAGGUUUCUAAGACUGUUUUUCAUCUAUAUGACUAUUUUAGAACCAGGUUUUUUAUUUUUUUAAAUUUAAUUUUACUUUUAUUAUGAGGUUAAUUUUUUUUUUUUUAAUAAUAGAAAAAUACAGUGAGAAGGAGACACUUAAAUUGAAAUUGUUAUGUUUGCUUUGUUACUAUUAUUUUAAAAAUUGUUUUCAAAUACAU